rnacentral:rRNA from 1 species
CCUACGGGAGGCAGCAGUGAGGAAUAUUGGUCAAUGGACGAGAGUCUGAACCAGCCAAGUAGCGUGAAGGAUGACUGCCCUAUGGGUUGUAAACUUCUUUUAUAAAGGAAUAAAACGAGGCACGUGUGCCUUUUUGCAUGUACUUUAUGAAUAAGGAUCGGCUAACUCCGUGCCAGCAGCCGCGGUAAUACGGAGGAUCCGAGCGUUAUCCGGAUUUAUUGGGUUUAAAGGGAGCGUAGAUGGGUUGUUAAGUCAGUUGUGAAAGGUUGCGGCUCAACCGUAAAAUUGCAAUUGAUACUGGCAGUCUUGAGGACAGUUGAGGUAGGCGGAAUUCGUGGUGUAGCGGUGAAAUGCUUAGAUAUCACGAAGAACUCCGAUUGCGAAGGCAGCUUACUAAACUGCCACUGACAUUGAUGCUCGAAAGUGUGGGUAUCAAACAGGAUUAGAUACCCGAGUAGUC